rnacentral:rRNA from 1 species
UACGGAGGGUGCGCGCGUUAAUCGGAAUUACUGGGCGUAAAGCGUGCGCAGGCGGUUAUGUAAGACAGGUGUGAAAUCCCCGGGCUUAACCUGGGAACUGCAUUUGUGACUGCAUAGCUAGAGUACGGUAGAGGGGGAUGGAAUUCCGCGUGUAGCAGUGAAAUGCGUAGAUAUGCGGAGGAACACCGAUGGCGAAGGCAAUCCCCUGGACCUGUACUGACGCUCAUGCACGAAAGCGUGGGGAGCAAACAGGAUUAGAAACCCCCGUAGUCC